GUCAAUCCACGCAAUAAAAAAAUGGGUCGUGAUACAAUUUAGACCGAUCUUAUAGGCAGAAUCUAAAUGGCAGUCCAAUUCCCAAACCCAAAAGGACAAUGGUGGCUUCAUAUCAACAAACCCAUAACACCUGAUGCAUCAACACUUUCUCGUCAAGCCCCGACCGUAGCCCGCCCUCGCCGGUCUCGAAGCUGUUUUACCGGCAACAAACGACGAGAAACGGCAAGCCGAACGAUGAGAUUGAACUGACCAGUGACAGUGAUGAAGCGACUGAACGGCGGUGAAGAGGGCGGCAGGACUGUUCGGCGAGCAAAGAAAGAUGGGUCUGGGGUCGAUACUCUAUUAGUGAGCUAGACCCAAAAGAGAGCUUCGGUACUCAAUUAGUGAGCUCGCCUUGAUCGGAAAGAGAGACACCGACAAAGAACUCCAUUAAAGACUAGUGAGCAUGAAGAAGAAACUGAACUGCGGUGAGGUCGUCGAAGAGAAGCAAGGAAGACGCCGAUGAUGAAGGUCUGAACGGCGAGAAGCGCGGAUGGACAGAACCGGCGAACAAAAAUAAAAGUAACAGAAUUGGCAGGGAACAUGGAUGAACAGAACGGCGGAUGGCAACGGCAAAGUGUUCCGCGGUGAAACAAGUUUGAAUUUGUUGUAUCUAUGGCCUGAAUAUGUAUACAUAUAUAUACACCAACAGUGUGUGCUCCAUUGACAACCGGAAAAGCUUAAACGAAGGCGAGUUAAAAUGUUGAAAUGAAAAAUAAAAAGUCUACAAUGAAUGAUGGCCGUUAAAAGUCCAUGCUCGAGUUGUCAAUUGUUCGUUCAGUGAAGAGGACUUUGUAGGCGAAAUGUUGAAUAAAUCAUGUGUUGUAUACAUCAGACCAUUAAUGUGUAGAGUCCUAGUGCUAGACCUCAUUAUUGUCGUGUUGAGUUGUCAAUGUUAGAACAGCAAAGGGAACUUUGAAAAUCAGAAUACAAGUCAUUGUAUGAAUAUUGGAAGGUGGGGCUGAAGUCUAUGUAUAUGCUGGUUGUCUGAAAAUUCUGAGGCCUGUUUGGAAGCCCAUAUCUAUAUUGUUUUGACGUUUUGGUUUUGUUAUUUGGGCUAAUAUCAUAUUUGUAGUGGGCUGACGUGAUAUUGAAUAUUACCAGAUUUGGGUCAAAACUCAUAUCAAUAAUUUGGUGAUAUUUGACUGAUAUGGCAGUGUAGCGAUAAUAUCAGCCCAAAACAAAACCAAACCAACCCUCAUUUUUACUGUAGCGGUGAUAUCAUGUAUAUAAGGUCGCAUAUCAGAUUUUAGGGCAUUUUUCAGCGUUGUUUCUCUCUCUUCGCGUAGCUCCUUGGAGGCAAUUUCAAUGGCGAUCCAACUGUCUUUCGACUUCAUACACAACCUCUUCCACCACCGAUCUGGCAGAGCUCCUCCACCAGCUACCUCCUUCUAUUUUCGCUUCUCAUUUAUCUGUCUUCUUGCAGGUCGGUUGAGGGGAUUUCAUUUGCACCUCUCAUCUCUUUCUAUUCUCGCAGAUCCGGGUUGGUUGACCACAGAUCAAACGUUUUUGUUUGCAAAUCUUUCAAAAAGAAAGACCAAUUUUAUCUCGGGCUCGGCUUUCCUAUCGUUUCUCUCUAUUCUCUAAAACCCUAUCUCGGUGGACAACAUUCGAAGAUGGACAUGAACAAUGACAAUGUUGAGCAAUACCCAUCAAGAGACAUUUAUUCUCUUGAUGGCGAGAAUGGUGAGGACGUUAUAGUUAUUGAACAGGCGGAUGCCACUGUUUGGUGUGAUGCCCAUCAAAAGAAAUUCAUGCUCUUGAUGGAGGAAGAGGUAGGAAAAGGAAAUCGUACAGGCACGACUUUUAAUCCAAUUGGGUGAACACAUAUUGUGGACGCAAUGUUGGUGGAAACUGGAAAGAAGUACACGAAGGACCAAUGUAAGCAAAAAUUCAACACAAUAAGAGCACUGUACAAAGAUUGCAAACAAAUAUUAUCUGAGACUGGUGUAGGGUACAACAGUGAAACUGGGAUGAUUGAGUUGGAAGCUGAAAGAUGGGUUCGAUUGUGCAAGGUUAGUAUUUCAAUACAUGUCUAUUUACCAUACAUGUAGUUAGUAAUUAGUGAUUUAGUAUUAAAAGGGUUUGUGAACAAUAAUUGUAAGCUAAUAGCGUGUAGGUUCUCAAGUAUGGCAGAAAAAUAAAAAAAUAAAAAACAGAGAUGUAAGAAUUAUGAGUAGAUGGUAAGGAUUUUUAGGGAUACACAUGCUACUGGUCAGCAUGUUCAUCCUUCUACAAAAGCACCCAAACCUCACCAAGUACUAACAAUUUCUCAAGUGGCAACACAUAAAGCUGCAAUUCAUAACAUGGAGGGCAAUGCGGACAUGACUGAUGUAGAAUGACCUAAUGUAGAAGAACCUAUUAACCUCAGUCCUACUCCCAAACCUGUAGCUAAGAAAUCUAAGAAAGAAAUUUUUUCCUCCACAAUGUCUAAAGUGAUGGCAUGUUUGACUGAUAUUGGGAACGCGAAAGCUAAUAAAAUUGCCAAAGCCAUAGCAGAAUCAUCUUCUAAUUGUCAACCAUCUUGUGUUAAAGAAAUGCCUAAUGUGACAUCUCCCAGUAAAAAGAAAAAGAAAAAGAAAUGGAUCCCCAGCUUAAGGAGUGCCUAAGGAUCGUCAACAUAUUAGUGGGGAUUGAUGAUACUCAUUAUGCUAAAAUCAUAAGGAUGUUUGGUGAGGACAAGGUGUGGAGGGACAUAUUUCUUCGCAUUCCUGAUGAGAGGAAGGUUGGGUGGGUGAUGAAUCAGCCUCUGUGAUAUGUUCGCUAUCUUACUUUUAUAUGCUUUUGGAUGACUGUUUUAUAACUCCUUUUACAUUACUGUUGGAUGACUGUAUUUAAUUUUUCUUAUCUACUACUUUUACAUUACUGUUGGAAGAUUUUAUUUAAUUCCUCUAUCUAUUGCUUUUAAAUUAAUGCUAGAUGACUAUUUAUGUUCUAUAUCUAUUGCUUUUACAUUAUUGCUGGAUAAUUGUAUGAUUUGGUAUGUCUUUUUAUCAUUUUUGUAUUGUUGAUGAAUAAUUGUAUUAUUUGAUAUAUAUUUUUUCAUUUUCCUUAUAUCAUGAAGUUGUUUAAUUUUUAUUAUAAUAACUGCUUCUGUUUAUUCUUAAAUAGGAUAGUAGAUAUGGAUAUAACGACAGUAUUAACUAUGUGUGAUGAUGAUAAGGAGGAAAUUCUUGUAUUGAUCGCAGCCGUAUAUGAGUACUAUCAUAAACAUUUUGAUAAAUAACGUUGUAGGGAUUCCAUGUUACAAGGGGAAGAUUACGUAUUUGAGAUUUUAAAUGGACAUGAAGAUAGGUGUUAUGAAAAUUUUCGGAUGUACCCCAAUACCUUUAGGGUUUUGUGUUGUGAGUUGAAAUUGUUAGGAUUGAAAGAUUCAACAUUUGUAACAGUAGAAGAACAAGUUACAAUUUUCCUACUUACCGUGUUUCACAAUGAAAGGAAUCGUGUCGUUGCUGAAAGAUUCCAACACUCUACAUCCAUAAUUUCAUAUCACUUUCAUGCUAUCUUAAAGUUAAUUUGUGAGUUAGGGACUAAGAUUAUUGCUCACUCGGAUUUGAAUGAAAUUCCUAAACAGAUAAAGAACAAUCCAAAGUUUUACCAAUACUUUAAGAAUUGUGUAGGAGCCAUAGAUGGUACUUAUAUCCAUGUUGUAGUGCUAGUUGGACAACAAAUACCCUUUCGUGGUAGAAAGGGUGAUAUGACCCAAAAUGUCAUGGCCGUGUGUUCUUUUGAUAUGAAAUUCAUAUACAUUAAUGAUUCGAAGAUUUUAAAUGAGUGCAUUCAGAAUGAGGAUUUGAAUUUUCCAUCACCACUUUAAGGUAAGAAAAUGACCUUUCCAUAUUUAUGCAUUUAACAUUAAAAAUACAUUAAUUUUAAUACUUAACAUGACAGGUAAGUUUUAUUUAGUGGACUCUGAGUACGCCAAUCAACCAGGGUUUUUGGCCCCUUUUCAAGGUCAACGUUACCACAUGCAGGAAUAUCGUGGACAUACUAGAGGACCAUGUGGUAAAGAAUAGGUGUACAAUUUUAGGCACUCGUCAUUGAGGAAUAUCAUAAAGCGAUGUUUUGGGUUGGUAAAGAUAAGAUUCACUAUAUUGAAGCAAAUGGCCCCUUAUCACUUUGACACUCAAGUUCUUAUCGUCAUUGUCUGUUGUACAUUACAUAAUUUCAUAAGAUCCCAAGGUGAAUCUGAUGAAAUUUUUUAUUGUGAAACCCCUGAAUCUUCUACUUCACAAAAUGAACCUGAUGUGGAUGACAUUGUUGAGGUUGUCAGUGCUAAUAAUGCACAGAUGAGACAGAUGGAUAUUUAUCGUGAUUGUAUUGCCAACCUAAUUUCGGAGCACUGUAAUCACUAAUUAUAAUAGUGUGUAAUAAUGUGUAAGAUUUUAAUAUGGAUAACUGUAAUAACUAAUUAUAUUACGUAAAUUAAACUCACAUGCAUACAAUAUGGAUAACUAUAAUAACUAAUUAUAUUAAGACAUCAAAUGUUAAAUGUUUUAGUACUUGUAGGCGAAAUUAUAUAUAGGAUUGAAGGUGAGCGACCAUAAUGUGCAUGUGAUAGAGGUCCUAUGUAUUUGUAUAGGGCUCGAACUUCAAAAAAUGAUGGUCGACAAUUCUAUAAGUGUCCAGCUCGGGAGGUAUGGCUUUAAUCUUUUAGGUGUUAUUUCUAUUACUGUUUCCUAAUUGUAUAAUUUAUAUUUCUUGUAGUCACAUAUGAAUGCAUUUAUGUCGGUGGAUGAGUUGCACCAAGGUGCACAAGUUGAAGAACAGGUUCAAUCUGACUUGGACAGAGUUAUUGCAAUGAUUCAAAAUGAACAAUGUUGACAGAAGUACAUGCUCUUCCUAGGUUGUGGAUGUCUUACUAUCACAAUCAUGUUUCUUGUGAUUAUCUUCUUUUUACUCAUUAUCGUUGUUAUUGAAAGAUAAAGUUAGAUAAACUUCCAUCUUUUGUAAUAUAUGACAUGUAAUAUGUAUUUAGUUAAUUUCCUGUAUUUCAUUUGGUAUGUAAUAUAUACUUAAUUUUCUGUAUUUGGAUUACCUUGCUGGUGAGAACUAUAAAUGCUAUACUUUCAACUGUGUAUUAAAUGGUAUAAAUGUGUUUGGUUUUGCAUGAGGUCAUUUACACUCCAAAUUUGUAACUUAGCCUAAAAAAAUAUUGGAUAUAUCUUACUUAGUACUUCUAAUUACUUCAUUCCUACCAUGUGUUAUUUUCUUUUUCUCUAAUGUUGUUUAUGUGUUUAGUUUUGCAUGAGGUCAUUUACACUCUAAAUUUACAACUUAGCCUGAACAAAUGUUAGAUAUAUCUUGCUUACUACUUCUAAUUACUUCAUUCCUACCAUGUGUUAUUUUGUUUUUCUCUAAUGUUGAUCAUGUGUUUGAUUUUACAUGAGGUCAUUUACACUCUAAAUUUGCAACUUAGUCUGAAAAAAGGUUAGAUAUAUCUUGCUUACUACUUCUAAUUACUUCAUUCCUACCAUGUGUUUUUUUGUUUUUCUCUAAUGUUGUUCAUGUGUUUGGUGUUGCAUGAGGUCAUUUACAUUCCAAAUUUGUAACUUAGCCUAAAAAAAAGUUAGAUAUAUCUUGUGGUUGAUGGAGUAGUUUAGAAGGAGAAUGGGCAAUUUUACUUGAAUUUAUGGAUUAGUUUUGUGAGCGGUGUCCCUUGUUGAAUUAAUUGAAUGAAUUUUGUGGGCGGUAUCCCUUGUGUUUAUUGUGUUUUAAAAUUUUGGAAAUGUCCAUUUUUAGGGGGAAACUAUGCUGGAUUUUCAAAAAAAAAAAAAACAAAUGAAUUAAAACUUUGAUUCCAAAAAGGCAUGUGGUUGAUUUUUGAAAUUUGAAAUGGAUUUUUGAAAUAUAUAACAGUAGAAAAACUGUGAAAUAUAUAACAAUUUUUUGAACAUAUGAUUAGUGAUAAUUUUUUAUUGAUUUUCAUGGAGUUGAAUAUAGUUCUCUUUGUUGUUUUAAGGCUUGGUAGAAUGCAGCCUUUCUAUGGGAAAACCUAACUCUACUUUAUAUUUUGAAGGACAUGGCAGUAAGUUGUGGGCAGUGGCACCAGUGGGAUUUAUAGGAAGCAUUCUCCAAUUGCUGCAACUCCAGGAAGCUAGUGAUCUCUAAGUUAAUCAAAUGGAGACCUAUGCAAGUAUAAAGAUGUGUGUAUACAUUUUAUGAAAUGAAUUUUAGUUAUUUCCAGUUGUGUGUACAUUUUAUGUAAGUAUAAUGAAGUGUGUGUGUGUACACACAUACUAUUUUUAAGGAAUGUCUAGCUCCUUAUAUGUGCAA